GGAUACCCUGAGGGAAGACAGAACAGGCCAUAGAGCUCUAGGAUAAAGAUAGGGAGCCUCCAGACAGUGGGCCAAUCUGGCCUGGCACGGAUCCUGAUCCGUAGCUGUUUUCCCACAAUCACAUCUACCCACUCCAUAUCUGACAUCAUAUGUGACAUGGGGCAGGUAAGGAUGUGGUGAUACAGGAAUGAUCAGGAGCUUAAAAAGAACUUGUGAUUGUUCCAUUGUGAGAGGGAAUCACUAGAGUAGGCUGCAUCAGUAUCUAAAACUGGGAUAACCAAUGCUGUGCCCUCCAGACAUUGUUGAACCCCUAGCUCUCAUCAUUCCUGAUCAUUGGCCAUGGUAGCCGAAGCUGAUAGGAGUUGGAGUCCCACAACAUCUAGAUCUAAAGAGGCCACCAAUCUACUCUUUAAAAAUUGUGUUUGCUUUAGUAACCCUGAAUGCCAUUGGAUGAAGGUGAAAUAUAUAUGUAGCAAAUGAAACCUCAUCUAAUUUGUCAUCUUCUAGUUUAGGGUGGACAAUGUGAUGCCCUCCAGAUGUUGGACUACAGCUCCCAUCAGCCCCAGCCAACAUGAGAAUUGUAGUUCAACAGCAUCUGGAAGGCACAACAUUGGUAACCCCCAUUCCAACUCCCAUCAGUCCCAGUUAGCUAAGCUGAGCUGUCCAGGGCUGAUGAGAGUGCUACUCUGAAAUAUCUGGAGUGCACCAGGUUGAGGAAGACUGUAGUAAAUAUGUAUCCAGCCAGUUUAAAAGGAGGCAGGAUAAAAUCAGAAGUGAGAUUAUUAACAAAGAUGUAGCCGAGAGAGUCCACUGCCGAAAAUUCUGAAAACCUUUUAUAAGAAGAGGACAAAAGGGAAUCUGAGAGAAAGCUAACAUUAGUCCUAAAUUCCCAUAAACUUGUACCAGUCAGUUGGACAUGGGGGAGUGUGUUUGUGUUUAAAACAGUUGUUAGACUGACAAUUGACAAUAAGAGCAGAAGUGGGGGAAGAAUGGAUGUUUUUGAGAUGUUCUCUAGAGCUUGCUGCAACUGAGAGAAUUGAAUCAAGGAAACUGAAACAGUUGGAGUCUUAGAUUAGGAGACAUGAGCAGCACAUAUCUCCCAGAAUUACAGGCAAAAUCUGUGGCUGUUAGAAUGCAGCUUUCAUUGGUGCAGAAACUGGGUUAACUUGGCAUUCUGAUGGGGAGGAUAGAGGAGGACAAACUCAAGGUGGUGUACAUGGUUCUCCUUAUCCUCAUUUUACCCUCACAUAAAUCCCAUGAAGUAGGUUAGAGUGAGGGACAGUGACUGGUCCAAGGUCACUGAAUGAGCUUCAUGACUGAGGAUUCAAACCCUCUUCUCCCAGAUCCUAGUCCAACUACUACACCACAGUGCCUAUAUAGCAGAUGUACUGCAUGUUAAAAGGUAGGGAAUAACUGGUCUGCUUGAGUUUUCAAGUAAAACACUUGAAAACGCCAGCCAAGGUUUUUCCAAAUAGAAACAUUUUAUGUUUUGAUUUCUUUCCCCACGCCCACCCACCACAAGGAUGUUAUAUCCAGACAUUCACACCACAGGGUUUUCUGACCCAGCUAAAGGGAGCACAUGCACAAUGUCAGAUCCAUACAGAAAAAUGCAGUUUCUGUGACACUUCCCACCACUUUUCUACAUUGCCGCUUUCCUAUUAGUGGGGAAGGCCUCAUCCAUAAAAUAACUUUAAACAAGGCAGCUCGCUGGUAAUUAAAGUGGUAACAGAUAUGAUGGAGAACACUGGGGAGAGCCGGCUGGACGGUCUCUUUGGGGUAUUUCAUACGCUUUUUUCCAGAACAACAUUUCCCUCUCAUUUCGGAGAGCUAAUUAUACAUGUGCUGCACACUAAGUGGAAGGCAAAAUUAAUUGGAAGAACAAAGGCAAUUUGUUGCGGAUUGGACCACGGCCACCAGCGUUCUUUUCCCUGGCAGGAGAAUACGACUCCACUCAAAAUGAUCUGUACUGAAUGGGUAUUCAGAGUCUGGUUUCUGCAGACGGCCCGGGGGGGGGGGCAACCUCCUGGACUGCUGCUGCCACCCAGUGUAGACAAUACUGAGCUAGAUGGGCCAAUGGGUCUUCCUCCUCUUUCUGGUCCAUUUGGGGCUGCCAAAUUCAUGCUGGAUCCUGAAGGGGCUGAGGAGUUCAUAGCAAUUCCCUUUUGUUUCCUCUCUGUUCUAUGUUGUUGUUUUAGUCGUUUAGUCAUGUCCGACUCUUCGUGACCCCAUGGACCAGAGCACGCCAGGCACUCCUGUCUUCCACUGCCUCCCGCAGUUUGGUCAAACGCAUGCUGGUAGCUUCAAGAACACUAUCCAACCAUCUCGUCUUCUGUCGUCCCCUUCUCCUUGUGCCCUCCAUCUUUCCCAACAUCAGGGUCUUUUCCAGGGAGUCUUCUCUUCUCAUGAGGUGGCCAAAGUACUGGAGCCUCAGCUUCACGAUCUGUCCUUCCAGUGAGCACUCAGGGCUGAUUUCCUUAAGAAUGGAUAUGUUUGAUCUUCUUGCAGUCCAUGGGACUCUCAAGAGUCUCCUUCAGCACCAGAACUCAAAAGCAUCAAUUAUUCGGCGAUCAGCCUUCUUUAUGGUCCAGCUCUCACUUCCAUACAUCACUACUGGGAAAACCAUAGCUUUUACUAUACGGACCUUUGUUGGCAAGGUGAUGUCUCUACUUUUUAAGAUGUUGUCUAGGUUUGUCAUUGCUUUUCUCCCAAGAAGCAGGCGUCUUUUAAUUUUGUGGCUGCUGUCACCCUCUGUUCUAUAGCUUCAUCCAAACAAGAUUCUCUUGCUCUUGUACUCCCAUUCCCUUUUUCCUUCCUUAGAUCCAAAAUCCUGUCUCAGUCUGGGACAACCAUUGUGGCCUUCUGUCCUUUUUGCAUCUAUGAUAUGGGCCAGAAUGUUUCCCUUGCCUAGCCUUCACCUCAGCAUUCACCCUCUGGCACACCCAUGCAUAUGAUUUGUUCAGGUGCAAGAAGGAUACCAUCUUACUUAUUUUAUGUAUUUAUAGCCCACUUUUUUCUCCAAGGAGCUCCAAGUGGCAAACAUGGUUCUACCCCUCCUCAUUUAAUCCCCACAAGACACCUGUGAGGUAGGUUAGGCUGAAAGGCACAGUGACUGGCCUAAGGUCACCCAGUGAGCUUCAUGGAUGAGUGGGGAUUUGAACCCUGAUCUCCUGGGCACUAGUUCAACGCUUUACCCACUAGAGCAUGCUGGCUCUGAAACAAGAGAUCAUAUGACAAUCAUGAGUAGCUGCUUCCUGCCCUCACAGAAGGCAAACAAAUGCCUCUCAGAAGGAGGAAUGAGUUAGAGAGAAAAGGAUAAGAUGGGAAAGCAUGAGAAGAAAAGGGAGUUAAACAAUUGACCUAGGAAUAGGACAAAACUGAAGUCCAAGAGGCUGUUGAUAGGUAAAAGCAGCAGAGUCUUUAAUAAUUUCUGAAGUAAGAUGAAAAAGAAUGGUUGGAUCAAUAGCUACUAACCUGUGGAAGGGAGUUAGAUCCAGAGGGCAAGAGGAGGGCUAAGCUUCACUGAAGAAAGAAUGGAGGGAGAAAUGAGCAUCAAAGGAAAUCAAAAGAAAGUGGGAGGGAUGCUACAAUUAUAAGGAGAGGGACGCAAUCAUGAAAGAAAUGAUUAUUAGGGAAAUGUAGUCAAGGAAAGGAUUGAAAAUAAUUUAAAUGUUAAUUUAAAACCUUUUUUUAAAAAAGAGGGGGAGACUGCGAAUAGCAUCUGCAAUGGGAGAAUUGGGAAGAUACCAUGGGCACUGACAGGUUUUACUUUACACGGGCAGUGGCGGUAUUUCCCCCAAAUUGCAUGGUGGUAGGUAAAAAAUAUAUAUGAUGCAGCAAAGGUGUUUGUGCAUGCCUGUCUCUCUUCACCUGGGAAGUUUCCUCCUGAGAAUCCUCGUUUUUAAUGGGACUGUAUCCUACAGCUGAUGGCAACUGGCUCUUUCAGUCUUUAUAACGAGAGAAGAACCUGCAGUCCUUGUUUUCGUUCUUGGACUUGGGGAGUUAUUCCUGCCUGCUUGGCUGAAUUCUCAUCUCUAAUAGAAACUGAAAGGUCUCUGUCCCAUCCUCCACUGAAUCCACCAGUCCUUCCUCUCUCCCACAGCAAAUUGCAUAGCUUUGAGAUGCCAGAGUUGAUACAUCUCCAUUCAUCUCCAGCACCAUGAUCAAACCUCAGGAGGCCAAUUCUCAGAUUCCAGCUCCCCAACAGAUUAUAUCCUCUUUUGCAUUUUGCCACAAAGGAGAAGGAGAUUUAAAGGAUGGUGUCUGUGCAUGUGAGAGGGAUCCUCCUAUGAAUGCAAUGACCUGUGAAGUUUUUGUUUUUAACCCUCUAUCUGCAAAACUUAAUGAUGCGAUGGUGGGGGACGGGGCGGACAACAACAAGAGCAAGAGUCAACAUGGUUAGGUCGUGGGUAUAUUGUUAAUAAACAGAGCUGAGCUAAAUGCCCUGCAAAGAAAAUUUUAGCAUGCAGCAAAGGUGAAGGUGACAUUUGUUGAUUUUAAGCAAACUUGCAUGCCUCCAUUCAGCAGAGGGCAGGGCUGAAACCAACGGAUAGGGAUAAAUACACUUUGUGGUUCCUUGCAAAACACACACAUACUCUCUCCUUCUCUCUCUCUUAUCUAUCUAUCAUCUAUCUAUCUAUCUAUCUAUCUAUCAUCUAUCUAUCACUCUAUCUCUUCUGAAUGAGGCAUCCAUGGAACUAGCUCUCACCACGUGAGUUUAGAAUCCAAAGCCAUUCUUGUAAAUAUGAAGAAGAUGCAGGUAAAGAACCUUUUCUCCCUUUUAUCAGUGGGACCUUUGUGUGUUUUAUUAACCUUUUUAAAGCAAUGUUGCUGUCACAAGAAUGAGACAGAACAGCUGGUGGUGGGACUGGAUAGUUCCAGCUUCCAAGCUUUAAACUCUGCUAUAACUUCAAUUAAAGCAAAGGAACCCAAGAGCACUUUGGUACAUUGGGAGAGGGGGCUGUGAAAGGGUGUAAGGCUGGUAGCAAACUUAACACCAGUGGCAAGAGAACUCCUAAGAGUUGCCACAGCUUGUGCCAACAUCAUACAUUUUUCUUCAUUGGAAGCCUUGCCCUGGAACCAAUCAGAGUGAAGGCAGUGGUGCUCACUCUUCCUCUGGAGUAGAGAUGGAGAACCUGUGGUCUUCCAGAUGAUGUUGGAUUCCAGAUCCUAUCAGCCCUGGUUGUCAUGACUACUAGUCAGGGAUGAUGGUAGUUGUAGUCCAGCAACAUCUGAAGGGCGAGAAGUUAGCCACACCACUGCAUUGUGGUGGUUGUUUUUUGCUGCAACAGCUGUCUGAAAACCAAGCCUUAUGAGGAACGCUUGAAGGCAUUGAAUGUGUUUAGCCUGUUAAAGAGGAGACUGAGAGGAGAUUUCAUAGCCAUCUUUAAAUAUCUCAAGGGCUGUCACAUGGAAGAUGGAGCAAGCUUGUUUUCUCCUGCUCUGGAAGGUAGGACUCGAACCAUGGCUUCAAGUUACAAGAAAGGAGAUUCCCACUAAACAUCAGGAAUAACUUCCUGAUGGUAAGAGCUGUUCAACAGUGGAAGAGACUCCCUCAGGAGAUUGUGGGCUCUCCUUCAUUAGAGAUUUUCAAGCAGAGAUAUCCUUCCAAAUCUACAGUUCUAUUAUUCUAUCUGCACUGGGACCAUCCCACUUUCUGUUAUUAUCAAGUCUAUUCUGCUGUGCGCUAAGGCUUUUGAUGACUUUGGAAUCUGCCCUAGAUACAGAAGAUUCCUUUUUAAGAGUUGGGGGUUGCCUGCAAGCAUUUGGAGUCCCACUGAGGUGUGGCUUAUUUUUGCUUCUUCUAAUAAACGAUAUAAGACAGUGGGAACCUUUCAGAGCUGUUGCUAAAUCUCCUUGAGCUCACUCCAAAAUAUACAGCACCCUCCAUUUUCUGCUUCCUAAAAAGAACAAGCCUUAAAUAUGCACAAACAAGAUCCAUUUUAAAACAUGGGGAACCUUUGCCAUAAGAGACUGGCGAUAACAGGAUGUAGGAAAAAAUGCCCACAUGCUUUCCCACUAGGUGGAGCUGUAGUCAUUCCUGAGACACAGCAAAGGGUCUUGCAAAAAGCACCUGCGCUGCCUUAAACAGCAAAAGGAGGCAGCGGGGGUGGGGGGGACUUUUCUCUGUCGUAAAUAAUACAUUUGCAGUACUCACGUCAACAAAACUUACACACAGGGACAUGCUCUUCAAGUAAAGGCUCAAAUCUCUGCCAUAAUCAAAAGGAUAUUGAAUAGUACAUUAUGCAGCUUAAAAUAGAUCCAGAGACCACUUUGCAGUGGUUAGGGUAACAAUUGCUCAUCUGCAAAGGAACAUUUUACUGAGGAUGUAAAUACCAUCUUCCAGCAAGGACUGAUGGGGAUCCUGUUGGGAAAAUGUUGUGAUUUAGCCCCUGUCUGAUUCUAGUAAUUCGCUUAGACGUUGCUGAAUGUUACCUGCCUAUCUCCAAAAAUGUAGCAGGGAGUAGAGCAUGAUCCAGGACCCCAGGAAGGGUGUGAGGUGGGUGGACUUUACAAUGGGGCUAUAAAAAGGCCCAUUUGCAUGGCAAGUAAAGGAGGAAUCAAUCCUUUAGAGCAGGGUUUCCCCAAACUUGGGUCUCCAGCUGUUUUCGGACUACAAUUCCCAUCAUUUUUCACCACUGAUCCUGCUAGCUAGGGAUGAUGGGAGGUGUAGUCUGAAGAAACAGCUGGAGACCCAAGUUUGGGAAGCCCUUAUUCAGAGGCAGGACUGCAGGUCAUUGGAAGGCUAUGCUCAGAGAUAGAGACUGGGCCAAAGGACACUUAGUGAGUGUCAUAGCUUGGCAUGGGUUUGAACCCAGGUCUUUCCACUCCAAGUGCCUAAUAUUCAACAGCCAAACACCAUCCUUGCCUCAAGCUUGGCCUGGAUUUAUUCUGAAUACAUUUCUCACCAUGACUGUAUACAGCACCCUCAGUCUCCAUGGCUCUGAGUGGGAUAUAAAAAGGAGAGAGAGAAAGAUGGAGGUUACAGGUUAUUGUAUUUUAGUGUUUUGUUGGAAGCCGCCCAGAGUGGCUGGGGAAACCCAGCCAGAUGGGCAGGGUAUAAAUAAUAAAUUAGUAUUAUUAUUAUUAUUAUUAUUACAGCAUUGGCCCAUCACCAGGAAGAACCAGGUACAGAUCUCGCUGCUGUGAGUCUCACUGGACCAGUUACCACCUGAGCCUAUACUACCUCACAGGGGUGUUGUAAGGGAGGUUGCAAUAAAGAGACGUGAGGAGAACCAUCACAGGAGAUGCAAGAGGAGCAAGAUGCAAGUGGGAGCAAGUGGGACUGCUUGUCUCACAGGGCCAGUUUGAGGAGGGAGAGGGUGGUCCAAGGGCUUUCUGUUGCGGGAAAGAGUUCCUGGUGGCAGAGAGCAGAAACCGAAGAAUUGAAGGAGUCUUUUGAAAAAGCAAUAAACGAUGCUGCGAUGGGCAGCAAGGUGGCACUGGAGGGCAACACAAAAGCUUCACUCUAGACAGAAACUCAUCCACACCAGAAAGGGCUUUUUUUUGUUUUGAAAACGAAAGUGGGGAAAAUUUUCCCAUCUUCAGCACCAUAGGUGGGAGAGCGCAUACUGUUCUCGUAAUCCGCAAUAGCAAAAAAUGCAGGCUUACUUGGAAGCACGUCUGCAAUAGAAUAGAAGGAUAAGCCCCCAAAACUGGGCAAUUUCAAGUCCCGCCCCACCUCUUCCUUCUUGUGGUUCCUUAACUUUAAACCAGACAUGGACAGGACAACUCUUCAAGUAAAGGAUUCCUUCAAACAGAGGACUGUCUUCUAUAAAGUAGGACCCUUGUGCACUCUACUUUUGAGCACCUUUUUUGAGAAGAGGGGUCUGCCCAGUUCAGGUAGCGGCACGGUGAGUCUCUUGCAUUCCUUCUUGUGUCUUGUUCAGUAUAGCUCUUCUUGAUCCAAGCAUAAGAAGAUAAGGGGAGCUUGCUGUAUCAGGCCGAUGUCCCAUCUAGUCUAGCAUUCUGUGGCCAACCACAUGUCUGUAGGAAGCACUCAAGCAGGAGAUGAACUCAGCAGCACUCGGCCCACCUGUGAUUCCCACCAACUGGUAUUCAGAGGCAUUUGUCUAAAUGUUGUCUCUGUUUAGACCCAAAUGAAUGGAGCUCAGUCUCCUGCUGAGCUGCAGUUCCUUUGACUCUGGAACUUCCCUAUAUAGGGACACGUUCUUACACAAAAGGGGCUCAUAGCAGCAGAUAGAACUCAAAGUGAAAGAGAGGAGUACCUGAGAAGCAAAAUAGGGAGCUCACAAGUAAGUUAAUAACCUUCACCGUAAUAUUACCUUUUUAAAAAAAAAGAAAAGAAAAGAGGUUUUAAUUUCCAGACCUCCACCUGAGAUGCUACUUAGGAAGGCGGAAAAAUUAAAAACCCAGCAGGCUCUGAUGGCACUUUUCCCCAAAGUGGGAGCCAAUUAGUUAUCAUCAAUUAAAUAAAAUUAAAGAAAAGAGAUCUGCUCAGAGAAGGAGAAUGAAAAAUGAAAUGACCUUCUGGAAACAAGGGAAUGGGGGGGGGGGAGAGCGCCACCAAGGAGGAAAGAGAAAAAUAAAAGGCAUUUUUAAAACUGAGUCAAAAUUUACACCUGGUAGAACAAAUCAACUGUUGACCAUGGAGCCAUUAUAAACUGAUUUGAACCCCCACGCCCCCGUUUUUCACCAACACUUUGGUGUCUUACCCUCCUGGUUUGGAUACUGUCACAAUCUCUGCUCCUGGGUGUGAUGGUAGUGGGAUGGUGAGAUAGUGAGAACAGCCACUGAUAUCAGGGAGGAAAGAGGAUCGUAACUGCAGUCAAGUCAGCUGCUCAAAGGAAGAACUGUGUGGCAGGAGCCACCCUGUCUUUGUGCCUUUUUUAGAUUGUGAGCCUGAAGGCAGGAACCAUAUUAGAGCAUUUUUUGGCUAAAGGGUGAAGCCUACAUGCCCUUAAUAAAGAUGGUGGUGAUGAUAACAACCUGAAUAAUGGCACUGAACAAGCACAGAGAAGAAACGUUUGUGGUCAUUCUGUAUUAAAAGUCAUCCACUCUUGACACUUCUUGCAGUGUGUAAAAGUGGAGCAUUUUGAGAUGGGCAGAGGUAAAUUCUUCAUCAGCAUAGAACAGAGUCACUUGAGGCUUUGUAGGGGGGGCAUAUCUGACGUGGUGGAGGGGUAGAGGUUUUCCGACAUCUUAGUUUAAUUUGAGGAGGAGUAAAAUUUGCCCCAUUAUUCCACACCAGCAGAGAGCAAUGGCAUGUUCCUAGUGUUGGAAAUCAAGCCUUUAUCAGGAGAAACUGGCCACUCUCCAGGCACCCGGCUUGAUCUCCUGUUGACCUCCCUGUCUGCAUUCCCCAGCAAGACCCAGGCUAGGUCGCGAUAGGCGAUCCUUCUCAGCGUGAGAAGAACACACCCCCUCUUUCCUGCCCCCCCCCCCCGGCAGGGGAAAGAGAUAGACAGAAACGUAUUUACAUGCCUUUAUUUCUGUCUUUGCAGCGUUACAAAAAACAUGACUGCUCUCUUCAAGUUCCAGCAGUCGAGAGAAAACAAACACUUCCUGUCCAGCUCAUAUUACACUCUGAGCUAAUUCCGGUGCCCUCUGCACUCUGAAUUGACUGUCCCUCUGUUUCCCACGGAACAGUCCCAACAUUCCCAUUAUGUUUUGCUUUCAAGCUACCAGCAGCUCGCGGCUGCAUUGAUUCAAUAUCGUAACACCUAGGAUGUGCUGUUAUACAGGAGCGAACUCCUAGGGGCCAAGGGGUCUUUGUCCCCCCCCCCAAUAAAAUAUUUAAGGGGGCCACUCCUUCCCAAGUUGAUGGGCAUUGCCAUUCAAAUGGUGUGUGUGCACUGUCAGGUGAUCGAUAUUGCGGGGCGGGGCUUACCUGCCCACCCGCCCCAAUAUUUUACUCAAGUUGGUAGCCCGUGCUGUUAAAUAUAUGUUUUAAACAUGGGCUGCCUGUCUGACUCACCAGUGGGACAUCAGUGGCUGAUGCAGCAUUUGACCCUGUGCUAUGUACGUUGGAAGUUCCAAGGCCACAGUUAAGUUGGCUUCACACUGCAGUUAAAGAUCUCACCGUGAAUAAUGCUCUUUCAAAUAAUACAUCUAUAUUCAUUCAAAAAAAACCCUUUAAAAUUCUUUAGAAAGGUGGGAAGCAGAGAAAUUUGUUUUUGCAAAUCUUAUACACGUGAGCUGGUUAAUGUCACAACUGUGUCACCUGCAGCAUCCUCCAGGCUAAUUGCCUGAUGUUUUUCUUCUGUAAUGAAGAUAUUCCCUCCCCCCUCCCCGAAUAUUUAGGAUGGAUCCAUUCAAAUUUAUUUGUUAAUGGGGAAAAAUAAUAAUAUGCAGCAAUUCUGGCAUUUCAUUAGAAGGGCUGGGAAGUAAACAGUAGGACUCACUGAAGUGAAGAGUGUAUGCAAAGAGCCAUCACCAGCUUCGCUGAUCUUUGGGUUUAAUUAAUAAUAAGCUGCAUCGUUUCGAUUCAUCAUAGCCAGACAGCUUUACAAAAUAUGCACUUCUGCGGGAUCCGAAUUCUUUCAGAAUGCAUUCAUUAAACAGAUAGCUGGGUUCGUUCACACUCUGUUUGAUAGAUGAAGCAUAAUGCACAGUAACAGAUUAAAUAUUAUACUUCCUAACCUGUUUUGCAUCUAGCUGCUGCUCCUGCAAGAUCUUGGCAAUGUAACAAAGAAAACCAUAGGAAGGAUUUAUUUAAUAUAUUGCAUGGUCUGCUAGGAACUGUCAGGGAAGGGACCAUCAUCACCCUGCGAUACAGCGCAGCCUUUGCAAGCUGACGGGUUGAAUCCAGGCAGCAACGGGAAUAACCAAUACUGGGUCAGUUGGGCAGAUCAUCUCACCUGGUAUUAAGGCACCUUCCUAUUUCCUUAUGGGAAAACGCCACAGAUGGAAGGUUUCUUAUUAGGUGUGUACUCUCACAUUUCCUCCAAGAGGCUCGAUGGCUACACCCAUUUUAUCUUCACAACACCUCUGUUAUGCUGAAAGAUGGCCGAGUGUCCUAAGUCACCCAGGGAACUUCAUAACUGAGGGGAGAUCAGAACCCAACACGCUAACCGCUAUCCUACCCUGCACAGGGGUCAUUCAUUUCAGUUGUGGUACUUAGCCUGUGAAACAGUGUAGGGCUAGAACAAUAUGUGCAUAUUCGCACAAUACAUAUUAAUGAAAUUUUGAUUAACUAUAGGGAAAAAGAGGUAAACUAAGGCUUAGCAGAGAACUUACAGCCUUCCUGGUCAAAUGAAAGUUAUGGACUCUGGAAAUAGACUGAGUUCUUAAGGAAUUCUCUCUUAAGGUGAGCCUCUGAGGUAGCCACUUUAGAUAGGCAGUCACGCUAAAUGACUGAGCAAUCCAGUUUGGAUGGUUUCUUAAUUUGUGCCAAGAGUAGAUUGUGAAAAGGGUUGUGCUUUUGAGUCUGGCACUGGAGGACUCCCAGAUUCCAAAUCCCCCCUCUGCUGGGAUUCUUGGAAAAGCAGAAAGCUAGGAAGAAUUGAUAUUGCAUAUGAUGACUGCAAUCUAAGUUAGAAAUGUAGCAAUAGAAAUGCAAAGACAAAAGAUUAAGAAGAAAUCUUCUUGCAAGUGUGUGUGUGUGUAUGUGUGUCUGUUCCAGCAAUAAAAUAAAAUAAAAUAUGUCAGAAACCACUGCUAACUGAUCCAAUUUCCAUCAUAUACAAAAUGUUAAGCAAAUCUGGCAUUUCAAGGUAGGGCUGGGAAAGACUUCUUUCUCUUUGAAGCUCUGGAGAGACAUUGCUAGAUGGACUGAUGGGCUGACUUGGUGCAGGCUGCUUCCUAUUUUUCCCUCCAUUAAGCAAUGUUUUUGUGCAAGUCAUAUGGGUCUUGGAAUUACCAAGUUAAUUUCCCACAGUUCCUUAGAUUGAGGUCAUGUGUCAAGGGCAUUGUGGGAAAUUAACAUGGCAGCUUCCUGGAAGCGCUGCUGACCUGGCCCACUUACGCUGUGAGGGGCAAGCACAUCACAGGUGCAUGAACGGGUUGGGGGUGGAGGUCUACUGAUGUGGGGCAGAAACCUCAAACCUGGAGCUUCACUGUCAUGACACAGAGAAGCAGCUUUCAAGGGAUGCAACCCACUUGUUGCUGUGCAAACCUUUUGUGGUCAUCCGGAAGCUUUUUCCAUCUGCUCCCCUUCCUUGGACAAAGCAAAGCCGCCUGACCUAUGACAGGAGGGGAGAUUGGUUUUUGCAGCUUUGACAAAAACAUAAUCAGCCGUGUGAAAUCCGAUGUGUUAGCUUGGCCAGAAGCAGGUUGUUGCAUGUCAGGCAACUGACUACCUUUGGCUGAAUUGCCAAGGGGGAAGAUCCUAUAAAAAAUAUGGUCACACAAGCGGGAAUGGGAAGUGUACAUCUUGAGAAUAUUUGUUGCUUAAGAGCAGAGAUCUGUGAUACAGGAGUUUUAAAAGGAGAGAACCCCCCCCCCCAUAGAUAUAUUAAGCAUUGGCUGGAAUCUUUGGUCACACAUUAUUUGAAUAUGAAUGUAUUUGGGAAGUGGCAUUGCAGGCACCCACCUUGGUGUGUUCAGUAUAAUGUCUGGUUCAUACUGAAUAUACCACUUCGCAGAGGCUGCACAUUUCAAAUAGCUCUGGUGACCAGGUUCUGGGCUGGCUUUGGGUGAAUUCAAGCAAAGGGAACAUCUUGUUAGUUUCCCUAUUAUAAAGCUAGUCUUGCUGUCCCAUUUUCUAAUCUUCCUUUCACACCACAGUACCUGUUGUAUCAUGGAACUGUGGCUUUUUGACCAGCAUAGCUGCAUGCUACACUACAUUUCAUCACCUGUGGGUGUGGUGUGACAGAGCAACAAAUUUCAUUGGACCAUAUCACUACUCCUUGCCCUUUCCACACAUGUGUGCUUCUUUUCUACCCAUGAUAACUGCAGGAAAGAACUCUAUGCCACCCCCAAAUUUGUCUCUUUAUGCUCACAGUUUUCCAGGCCAAGUGGGCUACAAACAGAUUCCCCCCCCCAGCAGUAAUCCAACUGCCAUCAGUCCCAGCCAGCAUGGCCAAUGGGCAGGGCUGAUGGGAGUUGCCAGCCAACAACAUCUGGAAGGGCUGCAGGUUCCCUCUGGUAGCAGCCAGCGCUUGGAAAGACAUGCAGGGUCAAAUAGCAUGUGAUGCAAAUCAUACUGUUUGUCAGUGAGUGCAUGGUUUUUAUUUUGGAAAUAGUGCAUUGGGGAGCAGUUGCAGAGUGGACCCAGCAUGGGAAGCAGGGAAGGCAAUUUAACCCUUUGCCCCCUGCUCUGGUGCCAGUCCAGAACACUUCCUCCUCCAUGCCCGAUGUUUGCAUGAAGAGGAAAGCUCCCAUGUGCUCCAGUCACAACUGUGGCUUUGCAGCAGAGGCCUGUGAUUCAGACCUCUUAUAAUGCGGAGAAAAGCUGACGAUAAACUUUCAACCUUUGCUGAAGAAGGAGCAGUGUUUGUGUGUUAUCUAGCCAAAGGGAAACACUUGUAAGCUCAUCCCAAGAAGUUACAAGAAAGGAAUUUAAGACUGAAACAGCCAGAGAGGGGAAGGAACUCCAUAAUUUAUUGAUAAGAAUUAAGCCUCUCGGGAAAAACAACAACAAAACAAUUACUGUCCCCCUGAGUUCAGGAAAGGGGAGGAGGAAUCAGAAAUUCAGGAGGAGAGAUCCUUUUAACAUUUCUGUAAGAAGGAAAGCCCUGAGCAUGCAUGAGUGUGCACUUGUGUGUGUUCAGCCAACCCUCUUUGGAAGCUUUAAGCCUCUCCUGUUAAUCACAGGACUUUUCCUCUCUGCUUCUUAACCGGCAUUUUCAGGAUGGAACAUCUUACCGAACAGCUUGAAGCCUGGCUUGGGAGGAAAGCUGGGCGGCAUUUCUGCCAGAGGGAGAAAUCAACAGAUUUGCUGGAUGCUCAUCGCUGGCACCAACAUGAACUCGGCACUGGCUCCAUAGCCAGCAGAGGAGUCACGCUUGUGUUUUGUCUUGUUGCAAAAUAUGCUCUGAUGCCCAGAAGCCAAAACAGGAGGCAGCGGGGCUAGAAGCACCAGAGCAGGGGUGGAGAACAUUUCUCAGCCUGGGGCCCAUAUUCCCGUCUGGGGCACAAGCCAGUGGUGGGUGGAGCCACAGGGAAAAGUGGGCGGAGCAUCAAGUGCAAAUGUUACCUUUGUAUGGUAGGAUCAUUUCAAUACACACUCACACACCCUUCUGUAUCCUGCAGCCAGAAAACUCACUGAGUGACGUUGGGCCAGUCAGUGUGCCUUUCAGCCUAAUCUACCUUACAAGGUUGCUGUGGGGAUGAAAUGCAGAGAUAGGAAAGAUGGGAAAAGAUAAAGUCCCUACCAGAGAAGAAUGGCAAAUUAAACUGUUGGACUAUGCUGAAAGGGCAAAACUGACCGGAAAGCUAAGGAACCAAAAAGACCAAAACUUCAAAAGGGAAUGGGGGGGAAAUAUAAUUUAUCUUGGAGACCACUGUAAGCAGAUGAAAACCUUAGCAGGAUUGCAAUAACACUUGAAAUGUAACAAGUACUAUGGAGAUAAUGGAGUUAUUAAAAAAAUGGAUUACUGAAAAAGAUGCCGUAGAAAAAGGUUUAUCAACAGAACCCAUGGAGGAGAAGGUGGGAAAUCCAGAGAUUCGGAGGAAUCUUUUAAUUGUGGAUGUGUGUUCUGGUAUUAUUAUAAUUUUAUAUUUGUAAAACCAAAUAAAAAUUAUUUAAAAAAGAAAGAAAAUAAAUCCAGAGAUAGGAAACCAUGUAUGCCACCUCGAGCUCCUUGGAGGAAAAGGUGGGGCAUGAAUGUAAUAAAUAUGUAAAUAAACACAGCUGGAACUGCAUAUGCAAUAGGGGGAGGUGGAAAUAUGGUAGAAAUUGUAGGGAGAAUGGGGAAGAGCCGUAGCUUAAUUGGGAGAGAAUUUGUUUUGCAUGUAAGAUGGUCCCAUGUUCAAUCCCUGGGAUCUCCAGGUAGGAUGAGCAGAGACUCCUUUCUGAAAGCCUGGAAAGCCACUACCAGUUAGUUUAGACAAGACAGAGCUAGAUGGACAAACAGUUUGACUUGCUUGAGCAGCUCCCUAGACUCCUCGACUGCAGCUGGGUGACACCAUGCACCCUCACCAAUCAAGUUUCUGAUGGACAUGUGUCUGAUGGACAUGUGAGUAGCCCAAUGGAUGGGGUGGGUAGGUGUUUGAAUAAGUGGCUGCUUUCAGUUUCACCAGAUCCCAGAGAUCAUGAUUAGGCAGGUUGGUGGCUGAGGGAAGCAGUAACUGCACAGUUAAUUCAUCUCCCCAAGAUAAUGAAUAUAUAUAUAUAUAUAUAUAUAUAUAUAUAUAUAUAUAUGCGCACCUUAAGAAAGAGACUUCACUCACCUCUUCACACAAUGGUCUAUGAUGUGAGCUGGGCUUCUAAAAUGCACUUUACACAUUGGCAAGAUGUCCUAGUGCCAUGUGUAAUGGGAUGCUAACAUUUUUUUGUUUUCUAAAGGAGUGGAAGGGAGGUGAGCCCUUAGGGAGACUGACUAUUUUGAGGCUUUGCUUUGUCUCCCCAGAUUAUCCAGUGAGAACAAAUACUGAAGCUCUGUUCAAGCAGGCAAGCAUCAGGCUUAUUCCUAAGUGCCACUCUGAGAAAUACUUCCAGAGGGCUGUUCAUCCCAUGGGACAAGAAGUAAUUUCCCCCCCCCCCCCCCCCGAAUCUAAUUCGUAAGCGGGGUUCACAUCAUACAUUUGAAGCACAUUUAAUGUACAUGACUUCCCCUCCCCACAAAGAAUCUUAAGUAUGCUGGGAAUUGUAGCACUGUGAGUGAUGAACUAUAAUUCCCAGGACCAUCUGGGGGAAGUCGUCCGCUUUAAAUAUAUGUGCACAGAGCCUAGUUAUAGUCUGUCGCCAGGACACGUAAAUGUAAAGGCUGGAGUUCACUCUUGAGAAAGUCAGAUGUGCCAUCGGUGUGAAAUCAGUAGGAAUGUUUAACUGCGCGUAGAAUUUCCUUUGGCUCUAAUGGGGUAGAAGGGUGCUUAGCUUUCUUCAGACUGCUUCCAAAAAGAUUACGAAGAGGGAGAGUGAAUCAGAGGAGUCAUAUACACUGAGGUGGCUAAAAGGUCAUUUUAAACAGGGUCCUAGUCUGGCAAAAGGUUUGCCAUACUUAGGACUGCAGUCAGAUGUACAUUUUCCUGGAGGCAAGCACCACUGAACAUGGUGGAAAUGACUUUUGAGUAAAUGUGUAUUGGGAGUGGGCAACCUCUUUGUGUAUAGGUUGCAGUGUCAGGAGAAUCUGUCGAUUUCAGCUUCUCUCAGUUUCUGAUUGCUCCAGCCAUAAGUUCAGUUCUAAACAUUUACACACCAGUUCCUUAUUAUUUUUCUUUUUUUAAAAAAAUGGCCUUAUGAAAAUCCAUCAGCAUUUUAGUGCAAAUUUCUCCUAAUACACAUUUUUUGUAUAUCCAAAUUAACCUAUUAUGCACAUUUUUUGCAAAGGAAUUUUCUCUCAUGGAAUGCAUUUUUGUAUGUCAGUUUCAGUAUUACAGUACAUGCAUUUUCAGGCAGAUUUCACUCUGAUAUUUGCAUUUGCUUGGCUGGAGAACAGCAUUUUAAAAUGGGAGGAAGUGUAAAUUUCAAAGGAUCACUGUCAGGGAACUGCCAUCGGAGCUAGAGGCGGAGGGAAGGCUCCACAGGGAUGGUGGAGAGGGUCCCAGUAGGGAGAGAGGCAGCCUGUCCGCUGGGGAAGGAAAUCAGCGUAACACCAGUAGAAAAGGGGGGCAGAUGGGGGAAUCGGAGAGGAGGCUCCAAGACUCCUCGCCGGAGACCAGCGGAGAGAGUACGGGUACUCCGCUGCCCACACCCUCCCUGCACAGAAGACUUCCAUGCAGGGAGAGUAGGAGGAGACUUGGCGUCAAGGAACUUUUGUGCUGGAAGAAGUUUAAGAAACGCCCACUGACGGAUUCUGCCAGCGACUGAGACAGUCACGAUGCUGGAGGCUGUUCAGUCAGAAAGGGUUUAACCAGGUAACCUAGCCAGGAGUGGCGGCAACUUACGCACGAGCAACCCCUAAACCCAUUACAGCAAUCCGUCAGUCCCCGACGUUGCUUGUGCGCAGCUCCAGAGAGGCAGCACCAUGAGCCAGACCAGAGGAGCCAGAGAGACGGGGCAAGCAGCUGCAGUGCAAGGUCUGGUAGAGAGAAACCGAGACUUGGAACAGCAUGUAGCUCUCCUGACGGCGCGGCUGGACGAAAGACAAGCUCAGGAUGCUCAGGUCAGACCCACCCCCAUCACGAGCAAGGUACCGGGGCUGGUACACAAGUUUGGGGGGAAACCCCAGGACUACAAUGCGUUCCGAGCGGAAAUAGAGUACGCUUUGGAACUGCAGCAUGAUGACUUUGCUAACGAUGAGCAAAGGGUAGCCUACAUUGUGGGGCACCUGGAGGAUGGGGCACGGGAAUGGAUCAGGCCCCUUAUGGCGACGCAAAAUCAUGUAUAUAAAAGGAUGUCACAUAGAGGAGGGAGAAAGGUUGUUUUUUGCUGCUCCAGAGAAGCGGACACGGAGCAAUGGAUCCAAACUACAAGAAAGAAGAUUCCACCUAAACAUUAGGAAGAACUUCCUGACAGUAAGAGCUGUUCGACAGUGGAAUUUGCUGCCAAGGAGUGUGGUUGAGUCUCCUUCUUUGGAGGUCUUUAAGCAGAGGCUUGACAACCAUAUGUCAGGAGUGCUCUGAUGGCAGGGGGUUGGACUCGAUGGCCCUUGUGGUCUCUUCCAACUCUAUGAUUCUAUGAUUCUAUGACCUUAAGAAAUUCUUUCAGGCAAUGGAUGCGAUGUAUUCCAGUGAAGUCCAGCAAAGUGUGACUCGGCGAGAACUGAUGGGGUGCAAGCAGGGGAGCCAGUCAGUUAGAGACUACUGGUCGCGCUUUGCAAUGUUGAUCCACCGGCUCAGGUGGGAUCUGGACUCUGAACCUAUUCAAAUGUUGUUUGAGGAGGGGUUGUCCGCAACGGUGAAGGACGAGCUGUCCCGCGCGUCCCGCCCGCACUCGAUGGACCAGCUGACCAAGGCUGUGCUUGCGAUUGGAGUGCGGCAGGAAGCGCAGGCUCAGGAGAAACGCGAAGUGAGAGGGGAACGUUGCCAUGACUACCGCAUUCCUGAAAUACCGAGACAGCUUUCCCAGGCGGCUGAGCCAAUGGAAAUAGAUGGCGCGCGCGCGAGAGGUUUCAAACUCCAGUGAAGAUCGCAAGAGGGAGGGGAAGAAUUGGAAAACCACCAAGAAGUGUUUCCUCUGCCAACGGCCGGGACAUUUUGCAAGGGUCUGCCCUCAAAGAAAGGCCUGGCAAGGGAUGGUGGGGGCUGCCGGCUGUGAGGAGAAGGGGGAGGAAGGGCAGGCGCAGGGAAACGACAACGCCUGGCUGCCAACCAGAGGGGCCAGCAGCCAGGCCAGCAACCAAUAGAAGUGCCCCAGCCUGACCCCCCCAGGGCAGCGAUAGCCAUAGCAGUGGUGCUAGAACUCCCGAAUGGGCACCGAGUCAAGGUUGAGGGGCUGCUGGAUUCGGGCAGCUCCUGCAAUUUCUUCAGCAGGGACUUCGCCUUGGAGCACCAAAUACACUUGCUACCCCUGGAUUUUCCCUUGCAAGUGACCACCAUCGAUGGCAGGGAACUUCUGGGAGGGAAGUGACACACCAGACCCCGCCAAUGCGAAUGAGGGUGUCCAGGCACACGGAGACCAUUGCCUUUCACGUGGCCACACUGGCAGGACCCCCAAUAAUACUGGGGAUGAGCUGGCUGGCACUGCAUGAUCCAGUAGUGUCAUGGUAUCAGCGGACAGUCACCUUUGGGUCAGCUUACUGUUUGGAACACUGUCUGGGGGGGGAACCCCAAGAAUGACAAGGGUGGCUGGGCUGGUGGUGGAAACAAAGGGAGAGGUGCCACCACCAUACGCUGACCUAAAGGAAGUCUUCAGCGAGAAGGAGGCGGAUAGACUACCCCCCCAUAGGUCCUUUGACUGCCAAAUCAACUUAAUCCCAGGGGCUCAGCUGCCGGUGGGUAAGCUGUAUGCCAUGUCAGACCGGGAGAUGCAGGAGUUACGGCAGUUUAUUGACAAGAACCUGAAGAGGGGGUUCAUAAGGGAAUCAAAGGUGGUGGGGGGCAGUCCGGUGUUCUUUGUGGACAAAAAAGGGACUAAUCAGCCCAGAUUGGUCGUGGAUUACAGGGCCCUAAACCUGGUAUCAGAACCCAUGACCUUCCCAAUGCCCAGGAUUCACGACAUUUUAACAUGGGUGAGGCAGGGGAAAAUGUUUACCAAGCUGGACCUCAGGGGAGCGUACAAUUUGAUCAGGGUAAGGGAGGGGGACGAAUGGAAAACCACCGUGUUCACCCCCCUGGGGGCUUUUGAGUACUUAGUCAUGCCAUUUGGAUUACAAUCGGGCUCCGCCUGCUUUCAAGCAUUCAUGCACCACGUGUUGGGGCCCCUGCUGUACAAGAACUGCGUAGCCUUCUUGGACGACGUCUUAAUCUAUUCAGACAAUGAGAAGCAACAUGUCAGAGACGUCAGGGAAGUGCUAAAGAGGCUGCAGAAGCACCAGUUGUGGGUCAAGCUGGAAAAAUGCCAAUUUCACACCAGAGAGGUCGAGUUUCUGGGGUACAAGUUGUCAGACAAGGGACUAGCUAUGGACCCAUGCAAGGUGCAGGCAGUGCUGGAAUGGAAAGCCCCCAAAACCUGGAAAGAUGUGCAGAGGUUCCUAGGGUUCAGCAACUUCUACAGGAAGUUCAUCAAGAACUUCGCCCACUUGACAGCGCCCAUCACAGAUUGUCUCAGUAGCAAAAGGAAGUUCGCCUGGACAGAAAGUGCCCAGCAAUCCUUUGAAAGACUGAAGAAGGCGUUCGCUUCGGAAGAGCAGCUCCUGCACGUUGAUCUGGAGAAACCCAUGAGGCUAGAGACCGACGCGUCCGACAGAGCCAUUGGGGCGGUACUUUUGCAGCCAGGGAGGGGCAAGCAGGAAUGGAAGCCGUGUGCCUUUUUCUUGAGGAAGCUGAGCAAGUCGGAGUAAAACUAUACGGUGUAUGACCGCGAACUGCUGGCGAUCUAUGCGGCGUUUCGCCGCUGGAGACAUCUGUUAAUAGGGGCGCAGCACAAGAUCCAGGUUUGUACUGAUCACAAGAACUUGGAAUACUGGAGGACCGCAUGAGAACUCAACCAGAGACAGAUUCGAUGGGCACAGGAGUUCUCCAAGUUUUCCUUUGAGAUCCGAUAUGUGCUGGGAGAGGAAAACGUAAGAGCAGAUGCUCUCUCCCGGAAGCCGAAGUACAUGGAAGGAGAGGGACCGCCGGAGAUCCGACACGUGAUCCCCGAAGACCGAUGGGUGUGUUGGGGAGCCUUGGUUGGGAAACGAGAAAUGGCCGGGCUUACUAGAAACGACGUGUUCGCUCAAACUAAAAUCAGGGAACUCCGAGACGGAAGAGAAAACCAUGGAGGGUUUGAGGAAAAGGAAGGGGUGCUGUACUAUAAGGGGGCGCUGUAUGUACCGGGGGAGACCUUGAGGGGAAGGUACUCAAACAACUCCACGACAACCCCACAGCUGGGCACUUUGGACAGCACAAAACCAUGCUGCUCAUCACCAGGCAGUUCUGGUGGCCAAGGGUGAGGGAGGAUGUACGGGAAUAUGUACGGGGGUGCGACCGCUGCCAAAGGGCAAAGGGGGAGAGGGCUGCCCCCACAGGGUUACUGGAACCCUUACCCACGCUGGGAAGACCCUGGGAGGUGGUGUCCAUUGAUUUUAUGACAGAUUUGCCCAAGUCUAGGGGGAAGACAGCAGUCAUGGUAGUAGUCGAUCUACUGACGAAGAUGUGCCAUUUCAUAGCUUGCACACAUGCGGUGACGGCAGAGGAGACAGCCAAGUUGUUUGUGGAUCACAUCUUCAGGUUGCAUGGGGGGCCCUCGAGGGUCAUCUCAGAUCGCGGGAAACAAUUUACUUCCUGGUUCUGGAGGAAGCUCAUGAGCUUGCCGCAGGUAGAGGUGGGCUUCUCGACGGCGCCACACCCGGAAACCAACGGGCAAGCAGAAAGAGCGAACAGUAUACUCCAGCAAUACCUACGCUGCUACGUCAGCGAGAGACAGAACAAUUGGGUAGAGAAACUAGCGCUGGCUGAAUUUGCGUACAAUAACGCUGAACAUGUGUCCACGGGCAUGAGCCCGUUCAUGGCCAAUUAUGGGUGUCACCCCAGGGCCUUCCCGGGGAGGGGGUAGGAAGGGUGGAGUGUACCUGCGGCAGAGCAGUUUGUGGAAGAAAUGGAGGCAUUGCACCAGCAACUCAAGAUGAACUUAGAGCGGGCCAAGGAAGUUUAUAAGAGGCAGGCAGACAAGCACCGUUGGGAGGGGGAUGCCAUACGGGUGGGAGACCGAGUGUGGUUGUCAACCCAAGGGUUACCCCUAAAGGGAGGGUGCAAGAAGUUGCAGCCAAGGCGGCUGGGACCCUUUGAGGUAACACAGCAGGUGAACCCUGUGGCAUUCAAGCUCAAGUUGCCUGACAGCAUGAAGAUACAUCCGGUGUUCCAUAGGUCCCUACUCUCACCGUACAGGGAGGGGCGGGAAUUCCCGGGGCGGGAGGGAGGAGUCACCACCCACCCGCGGGUAGAGGAGAGGGAACUCCACAACCAAGCCAUGGAAAUACUCGAUUCAAGGUGGCGAGGGUGCCAGGUGGAGUACUUAGUGGCUUGGGAAGGAGAACCCGGGUCAGAAAACACGUGGGUCCCCGCUGAGGCGGUCAAUGAUGGGUAUCUAGUGGAAGAAUUCCACAGCCUGUUCCCAGACAAACCAAAACCACUAGUGAGAUUCUGGGAGGAAGAAUUUGGAACCACAGACGAAGAGGAAUUUGUGGGUUUUCCUGCCUCCGAAGAGGAGGGAGGAGAGGUGUCAGAGGGAGAAGAAUCAGACUGGGAGGCCCACCCCGCGGCAAGAGUUUGGAGCGGGUGGGAAGCGGGUUUUGAAUCCUCAGAGGAUGGCGACAGCUCCUUCAGGGGAUUCCCCGCAUCAUCGGCCGAGGAAAGGGACGAGUUUGGAUCAGAAUGUCGGGCCGAGGGUGGGGGGGUCCUGGGGGGGAGAUGGAUGUCAGGGAACUGCCAUCGGAGCUAGAGGCGGAGGGAAGGCUCCAGAGGGAUGGCGGAGAGGGUCCCAGUAGGGAGAGAGGCAGCCCGUCCGCUGGGGAAGGAAAUCAGCGUAACACCAGUAGAGAAGGGGGGCAGAUGGGGGAAUCAGAGAGGAGGCUCCAAGACUCCUCGCCGGAGACCAGCGGAGAGAGUACGGGUACUCCGCUGCCCACACCCUCCCUACGCAGAAGACUUCCGCGCAGGGAGAGUAGGAGGAGACUUGGCGUCAAGGAACUUUUGUGCUGGAAGAAGUUUAAGAAACGCCCACUGACGGAUUCUGCCAGCGACUGAGACAGUCACGAUGCUGGAGGCUGUUCAGUCAGAAAGGGUUUAACCAGGUAACCUAGCCAGGAGUGGUGGCAACUUACGCACGAGCAACCCCUAAACCCAUUACAAUCACUUUGCCUCAAUUCACAUGUUGUUUCAGAAUUCUUAGGUUUGCCUUUAAAUGCUGCUGAAUUAAAUUUCUUCCCAUCCAUAGUAGCUCAUAAAAGCUACUCCCAGUUUUAAAGCUUCUGUCCCCAGUUAUAAAGAUUUAUUUAUAUUCUUUUCCUCAAGGAGCUCAAGGUGACAUACAUGUCUGUCUGUCUGUCUGUCUCCCUCUCCCUUCCUCCCUCUCUCAUGCACACAUACACACAAAAUACACACUCAUUUUCUCUCCCAUGUGACACUUUUUAAAAGAAAGAAAACUGGAUCAUCCUUGUUCAUAAAAAUAUAGAACACACAAAUGAUCCAGUAAUGAUAAAGUGCUACAGUACCAAAUUAAUACUAUGAACUUUAAGCCUAUAAUAACAUUGUAUCCAUGUAUUAAUGAAAUAUGACUAUAAAUUGUUGAGCAGGGGGAAAUUGCAUUUUAAACUCAUACAACAUUCCUGUGAGGCAGGUUAGGCCAGGAGAGACUGGUGUGUUGAGUUUUACUGAGAUUAUUCAGCACAGUUUUUAAUGUACAUAUUUCCACAUCAUCAUCUCUCUCUCUCCUUCUCCUCCCCCCCCCCCCAUCCAAGAAACAUGAUUUUCAAGGUCUUGGCAAUCUCCUCAAAGAUUAAAUAAUAAUAAUAAAAGAGAUGUAUUUUUGUAAGAUCAGAUUAAUGUUGCAUUAGAUCCAACUGUGCCAAGUGUAAUAUUUUCCUCACUUUUUCUUUUCAUGGGAAAUUACGAAAUACAUGGAUUUCAUUUAUUUACUUAUCUCGGCACUCAUUUAAUUUUGUAAUUCAAAUGGAAAAAUAUAUCCCUGGGCCCAGAGGCUCAGAUGAGUUAACAGGAAAAGGUGACCUGCAGAUGUCAACAAUGUAAAUUGCAGCGCAGGGCUUGGAUGUGACUCCCUGUAAUCCAUAUAAAUUACUGCUUGUGAAAUGUAAAGAAGUUAAUAUGCCAAAAUUGGCAGAGAGGAAUAGACUUGUUUUCAGCAGUAUGCGGUGAAAAUAAUAAAGUAACAAGUUUCUACCAUCUCUUCACAAUAGCACCUGAAGCUGAUACAGUGGUACUUCGGUUUACAAACUUAAUCCAUUCCGGAAGUCCGUUCUUAAACUGAAACUGUUCUUAAACCGAGGUGCACUUUCCCUAAUGAGGCCUCCCACCACUGGUGGCCUUCCACCAUUCGGAUUCCGUUCUUAGACUGAGGUAAAGUUCUCAAACUGGGACACUAUUUCCGGUUUUGCAGAGUUUGUAAACUGAAUCAUUCUUAAACCAGACUGUUCUUAAACCGAGGUACCACUGUAUAAGCGUUGAUGGCCUUAUGCUUUGAAGCUGUCCAUAAACGUGGUCAAUAAAACAAAACAAGUCCACUACCACUCCAUUUUAUCCUCACAACAACUCUGUGAGGUAGCUUAGUCUGAGUGAGAGAAAGUGACAGGCCCAAGUGAGUUUUAUGGCACAGUGGGGAUUUGAACCUGGGUUUCCCAUGUCCUAGUCCAACACACUGACUAUCAGCUACGGCAUUGAGCCUGUGACAAAUUGCAAUUCUUUGUUUCAGUCUCCUUUUGCAAUCCCUUAUUCAAGGAAGGCCACUUAAAGAUUAGUUACAGAGCCUUCUGGGAGGCUGAAAUGUCCCUCUCCCUACUCCUCAGAUUCUGGAUACUGGCCAUUUCUGGUGACAGAUUUGUGACCAUUUAUUCUUUCCCUUGCAGAUACUGGUCUGUUUGCCCUACACAGCGUGCAAAAGGGUAUUGCAGGCAGAUGACAGCAUGUAUCCCAUUGGAAGAUGAGCAGAUCAGCAAACCUCUGAUGUUGUGGAUGGCAUUCCUGAUGGAGGAAAGAUGCUACCAGAGGGAAAUGUCAAGCGCUGUGAUUCCUAAACUUUUGGGGGGCCACAACCCCUUGGUUCCAUAAACUCAUCCCCAGUUCCCUCCCCACAAUCCUAUACAUAACAUUAUUCAGAAUAUCGGUUUACACAACCCACUAAGGAAGAUUAUGACGCAAUAAAAUUCAAAACACUAACAA